GGGAUUUCUGAAAAACACUGUUC
rnacentral:piRNA from 1 species